rnacentral:rRNA from 1 species
GAUGAACGCUGACAGAGUGCUUAACACAUGCAAGUCUACUUGAUUCUACUUCGGUAGUUGAUGGUGGCGGACGGGUGAGUAACGCGUAAAGAAUCUGCCCUUUAGUUUGGGAUAACCUUUGGAAACGAAGGCUAAUACCGGAUAUUAUGGAGACGUCGCAUGGCGACUCCAUGAAAGCUAUAUGCGCUAGAGGAGGACUUUGCGUCCCAUUAGUUAGUUGGUGAGGUAAUGGCUCACCAAGACCGCGAUGGGUAGCCGGCCUGAGAGGGUGAUCGGCCACAAGGGAACUGAGACACGGUCCUUACUCCUACGGGAGGCAGCAGUGGGGAAUAUUGGACAAUGGGCCACAAGCCUGAUCCAGCAAUUCUGUGUGCACGAUGGAGGUCUUCGGAUUGUAAAGUGCUUUCAGUAGGGAAGAAAAAAAUGACGGUACCUACAGAAGAAGCGACGGCUAAAUAUGUGCCAGCCGCCGCGGUAACAC